rnacentral:rRNA from 1 species
UACGCUGGCGGCACGCCUAACACAUGCAAGUCGAACGCAGUAGCAAUACUGAGUGGCAAACGGGUGAGUAUAAUGUGGGAAUCUGCCUUUUGGUCUGGAAUAACACGGGGAAACUUGUGCUAAUACCGGAUAAGCCCUUACGGGGAAAGUUUUAAUGCCGAAAGAUGAGCCUGCACUUGAUUAGCUAGUUGGUAAGGUAAAAGCUUACCAAGGCAACGAUCAAUAGCUGUUCUUAGAGGAAGACCAGCCACAUUGGGACUGAGACACGGCCCAGACUCCUACGGGAGGCAGCAGUGGGGAAUCUUGCACAAUGGGGGAAACCCUGAUGCAGCGAUGCCGCGUGAGUGAAGAAGGCCCUUGGGUUGUAAAACUCUUUCGUCGGGGAAGAAAAUGACUGUACCCGAAUAA